rnacentral:rRNA from 1 species
CCAGACUCCUACGGGAGGCAGCAGUGGGGAAUAUUGCACAAUGGGCGCAAGCCUGAUGCAGCCAUGCAGCGUGUAUGAAGAAGGCCUUCGGGUUGUAAAGGACUUUCAGCGGGGAGGAAGGUGUUGAGGUUAAUAACCUUGUCGAUUGACAUUACCCGCAGAAGAAGCACCGGCUAACUCCAUGCCAGCAGCCGCGGUAAUACGGAGGGUGCAAGCGUUAAUCGGAAUUACUGGACGUAAAGCGCACGCAGGCGGUCUGUCAAGUCGGAUGUGAAAUCCCCGGGCUCAACCUGGGAACUGCAUUCGAAACUGGCAGGCUGGAGUCUUGUAGAGGGGGGUAGAAUUCCAGGUGUAGCGGUGAAAUGCGUAGAGAUCUGGAGGAAUACCGGUGGCGAAGGCGGCCCCCUGGACAAAGACUGACGCUCAGGGGCGAAAGCGUGGGGAGCAAACAGGAUUAGAUACCCCGGUAAAG